UUUUUUUUUUUUUUUUUUUGGUCUUUUUUUGCCUUUUCUAGGGCCGCUCCCGAGGCAUAUGGAGGUUCCCAGGCUAGGGGGUCUAAUCAGAGCUGUAGCCGCCGGCCUACGCCAGAGCCACAGCAAUGUAGGAUCGGAGCCACAUCUGCGGCCUACACCACAGCUCACGGCAACGCCAGAUCCUUAACCCACUGAGCAAGGCCAGGGAUCAAACCUGCAACCUCAUGGUUUCUAGUCAGAUUCGUUAACCACUGCGCCACGAUGGGAACUCCUGAACAUCUUUAAAUUGCACGGAUUCCAUGAACUUGCUAAGCCUGGUGUACAACUUAGGAGUGUGGGGCCCACAGAGGGCAUGUGGGUUAUCCAGGGGCAUACAGCUAGCUAGUACAAGAGCCAGAUUUGAAACUGGCUCCACUGGCCAUGAACUUUUCCAAUGCACUUGGAAGAUAUUUCCACCUAAGUUCAAGUGCUAUGUUUAUGCAUUUUUAUGUCUCUGGACCUCGAUCUGACUACUCCUUCCAUCACUCAAUCAUCCGUUUGUUCAUUUAACAAAUGCACUAGUGAGAUACAGGCUCAAUGCUGUAAGAAUGGCUCAAAUAACACAUGUCCUGGAGUUCCUGUUGUGGCUCAAUAGGUUACAAACCCAACUAUUAUCCAUGAGGAUGCAAGUUUGAACCCUGGCCUCGCUCAGGAGGUUAAGGAUCCAGCACUGCCAUGAGCUGUGGAAUAAGUCACAGACAUGGCUUGGAUCCCACAUUGAUGUGACUGUGGUGUAGGCCAGUAGCUGCAGCUCCAAUCUGACCCCUAGUCAGGGAAUCUCCAUAUGCCACAGGUGAAGUCCUGGAAAAAAAAUGUCUCCUAGACAAAAAAAAUUAGUUUACAUUUCCAUUUUCACUUCAAUCUGAAUGAAAACAGUCCAGAGUUGGAUGAUGGCUUUACGGUAUCAGGGACUCAGACUCUUUCUAUCUUAGAGCACUCCCAUCUUCAACCAGUAGUUUUCAUCUCAUGGCCCAAUAUGGCUGCUUGAGCAUUGCCAUUGCACCUACAAUACUACCAGUAGGAAGUAGAGAAAAAGAAGUAGAAGUCACCCUCUUUAGGACACAAACAAGAAUGUUUUGUGCCGCUUCCACUCUCACCUUACUGGCUGGAAUUAGGCAUAUGUCCUAUAAUACUGCCAGAGAGGCUGGGAACAGUAGUCAUUGGAUAACAUAGCUGGGCAGCCAUCAUGUUUUCCUCUAAAACUUGGGACUCUAUUACCAAUGAAUAUAUUAUCCAUUCUCUGUCACUCAUAUAUUUUCUGAGCACCCACCAUGUGCAGAAGAAGGUGCAGCAGACUAGAAAUAGCGUAAACUUCAUAAUUUGACUGUCUUGGGUUUGAAUCCCAAUUUUGUCUUUCCCAGCUAUAUUUCAUCACCUCUCUGAGCCUCAGUUUCCUCAUUAAUAAUAUGGAGACAAGAGAGUAAGCAUGAUCAUCCCAUGCGGGAAUUUUAUGAGAGACACGAUAUAGACUUAGGACUGAACCUGGUGUACAGUUGGCACUAAGGAAACAGCAGUUGCAUCAGACUCCAAUGUGUAUUUUAUGCUGAUAGCACAUCUCAAUUCAGACUAGCCAUGUUUCAAGUUCUCAGUAGUCACUUGUACUAUACUAGACAGCACAGAUCUAAACCAUCAAAUAAAAAGAUAAAUGUUUUAAAAGAAAGAGAGAAAACAAAAGAAAUGGCAGCUGCUUUUAAAAUCAGCCAGACCCUAAGCCAGACUUCCGGGGGCCAGAGGUGACUUAGCAGAGGCCCUGCCCUCGAUUCCAGUGGAGAGACAUUCCAGGGCAGCCUGCUGUCAAUAAAAGCCCAGAGAUAUGUCUAUGAAUAAUCCCAAUGCAUCAAUCAUGCAUGAGUCAGAGCAGUUAUACCCAUAAGUCAUAAAGCAGCAGCUGGGCCCAGAAUUCCUGGCAUCCUUCCAAGCCCAUCUCCCCAACCCCAUUUUCCAGAGGAGCAAAUAGAGCCAAAGGGAAGAUUGCAAGCACAGUGUGACUACACUGUUUUAUUUUAUCAGUCUCCUCCUAAUGGGGCAUGGGGGUUGGUUCCAGUUUGGAGUCACCAUAAACAGACUUGGCCGGGCCUUCCCAUACCUACAGGAGCAGGGAUUUCCAGAGAGGCUGGGAAGAAGGAAUUGCUGGGGUGAAUUACAGAUCUGUGGGGUGCUCCAACUGCAACGGAGGGAGAUGACUCUCCCCAAGUUACUGACAGAUCACAACCUCAGCACCACUGACAUUCUGGGCCAGAGAAUUCUCUGGUGUGGGGGCUGUUCUAUGUCUGGUAGGCUGUUUGGCAGCUUUCCUGGCCUCUACCCACCACAAGAUGCCAGGAGCAUACCAUCACCCCCAGUUGCGACAACCACAAAUACCUGCAGACAUUGCCAAAUGUCCUCUGAGGGUAAAAAGCAUCCCCAGUUGAGAAUCACUGCUCUCAAAGUACAGAGCCUGCCAGUAGGGUUUCUAAACACAGAUUCUUUAUGCAGAUUUGUGGAUGUUACUGAUUUUCUUCUCUUUGGAAAGGGUCUAUGACCUUGCUAGUUACUAGUUUAUGAACAAAGAUUUCAGGUCAUUAUUAGGAUAAUUAGUGGAAUUUGAAUAUGGACAAUAAGAAUGAUAUUAUAACAUUGUAUCAGCAUUAAAUUUCCUGAUUUUGACAACUAUACAGUGGUCAUAGAAGUGAAUGUACAUGUUAUUCAGUGAUGCACAUCAAAGUAGUUAAGACUGAAAGGACAAUGUGUCUUUCCUGUGUAACUGACUCUCAAAUGGUUCAGAAAAAUUACACAUGCACAGAGAAAGAAUGAUAAAUCAAGUGUAGCAAAUUGUUGAUAAUUGUGGGAAUCUGAGUAAAGGAGAUAUAUGGAAGUUUAUUGCAACAUUUUGGCAAAUUUUCUGUAAAUUUGAAAUUAUUUUUUAGCAAUUAUUAUUUUAAAAGUGGUGGUUUUUUUUUUUCUUUUUUCUUUUUUUUUCUUUUUAGUGCCACACUCACAGCAUAUGGAGGUCCCCAGGCUAGGGGGUCUAACCGGAGCUACAGCCUGC
rnacentral:lncRNA from 1 species